GGCUCGGGGCUCCGGCUCCUCGUGGCGGGUGGGUACCCGGCCGGCCCGGGUGUGGCUGGGCUCGUCCCGCGUCCCCUCGAGCUUUGCCCGCCCGGAGCUCCGCUGCUCCCGGCGGCCAGGACGGAGGGGUAGAGCAGCCCUCGGCGGCCCGGGGGGCGGGCGGCCGUGCCCGUCCAGAGGCCGCGCGAGGCACAGACGCCGCGGGGCGCCGUCCGGAGGAGGCUUCCCGGUGGGCAGCCCCGGCCGCGGUAACAGCUUUGCGCUUUGCUUCCCCAGGGCGCAGCCGCGGCUACUUGGUAGCGGGUUCGGGGCCCGGCCGCGCCUGCGGCGGCGAGAGCCAUUCUGGACCGACCUCGGGCCUGCGGAGGUUGUGUGCGGCGUCUGCGGGGUGCAGCGGCCUCAGUUCUGAGCGCAGGUUGAAAACUACAGAUGAAGCAACAGGUCAGAUAGUGACUCAAGGUCCUAUCACAUAUGCAUAGCUCUGAACAAGGAGCCUCAUAGGUAACUGUCUGGCUGUAUGACCUCUGAAAAAUCACUUAUCUUUCUUGGGAUUUAGUGUCCUUGGGAUUAGACCAGUUUUGGAGGGAAACACCACAGUAGAGCUAUUAAGAAUAUAAGCUUUUCAUAAUAUUUAGUUCUGUUACACCUCCAGAAGUUACCCAAAAUUUGGCAUAAAGGGAGCAUCUGUCAGCAUGUUAGGUGUUUUUGAUGAAUGUAGCAUAAUGAGCUGUAAAAGGAUUUAAAGAACACAAUGGUGCUAGGUUAGAAUGUGAAGGUUUUGGAGGUGAUGGGGAAAGUUUCCAUGUGGGAAGAAAUGUGAUAGUGUAGCGAGAUGAACAACCCAGUAUGUGCUAGAAGGAGUUCUUCCUGUUGACCAGCUCUGAAUGUCUGCAAAUACCUCAUUUUCCAGAAGUCUUAAAUAAAGAUAUUUAAUAUUCACCUUGGAGUCAUAAUGCUUAUUUCAUAAUAUUUUUCUA
rnacentral:lncRNA from 1 species